rnacentral:lncRNA from 1 species
CAUUAUGCAUGUCUGCAAACAAUGCAAGCAGUACUGCUUUAAGAUUAGAUCAGAGCACCUGGCAACUGGACAGGAAAGUCAAAUUUUGGCAGGAAGUCCAUUAUUGCAACAGAAUUUUGGAAAUCAGCUAAAAUUUACAAAAACAGACUCCCUCUUUUUUUUCUUUCUUAAGACUACAACUCAUAUUGCUCUUGGACUAGUAUUCAAUAA